AGCAGCCGCGGUAAUUCCAGCUCCAAUAGCGUAUAUUAAAGUUGUUGCAGUUAAAAAGCUCGUAGUUGAAUUUCGGGAUUGGCGCAUCGGUCGUGCCUCACGGGGUAUGAACUGGUGCAGUCAAUUUCCCACCUUCUGGAGAACCGCGAUGUCCUUAAUUGGAUGCCGUGGGGAACCAGGACCUUUACUUUGAAAAAUUGAGUGUUUAAAGCAGGCAUUUUUGCUUGAAUACAUUAGCAUGGAAUAAUAAAAUAGGACGGCAUGGUUCUAUUUUGUUGGUUUCUAGGACCACCGUAAUGAUUAAUAGGGAUAGUUGGGGGCAUUAGUAUUCAAUUGUCAGAGGUGAAAUUCUUGGAUUUAUUGAAGACUAACUACUGCGAAAGCAUUUGCCAAGGAUGUUUUCAUUAAUCAAGAACGAAAGUUAGGGGAUCGAAGACGAUCAGAUACCGUCGUAGUCUUAACCAUAAACUAUGCCGACUAGGAAUCAGACGAUGUUAAUUUUUUAAUGUACUCGUUUGGC
rnacentral:misc_RNA from 1 species